rnacentral:lncRNA from 1 species
AAGAAUCAACAUCUACAUACCUUAAUCUUUGAAAUUGGAUGAAUUCUAUUGCUUGAGACUCUAUCCGCACUUGUAAUAAAUGAUUCUCAAAUCCCACACUAUGAGGUACUCUAUUCUUGAAGAAAUCUUAAAGAUUUAUGGAUGAAUUUUUGGAAGAUUAGGGUUCUUGAAUUGAAACCCUAGAUAUUUUCUCUUGAGAGAAUUGGAAGAGUAAAUGAUGAAAUUAGAGUUUGGAUGGGG